GUGUGAAGAUGCAAAGUAGUAGAUACAUUUUAUGUUACAGAAGUAGGAAGUCAGAGCUUUGAUAUUGGAGUACGUGUGAUGAUUAAAGAAGGGAGAAAUUGGGUUUUUGACUUGAUUAAUUUGGUUGGAUAGUGGUGAUGCUGAGAAAAGAAGAAGUGUCUUUGGACCUUCUAGCCCUUUUGGCUGACAAUAAGGGUAGCCUGAUGGAAAAAAUAAAUUGAUCUAAAAAAUUUGUAUUAGCAGUGUCCACACUCAACCAGCAUACAGUCUUCAAGUUCUAUCUUCCAGGGACCAAACCUAAAUUUAUGUAUGACUCUUCCAUAAUGUAAUUUUUGAGAAAACCCAUUUAAAGGUAAGUAUCAUAAGAAACAGUUAUGAAAAAGAAAACUGAGAAAGAUAAUAGUGCUAAAAACAAACAAAAAACCCUAUUUCAUAUUCACUAAACAACCCAACAAAAAUUUAUAGUUAAAACAGUAGUACCAAGUUCCUCUUGUGGUGCAGCGGGUUGAGAAUGACUACAGUGGCUUGGGUCACUGCAGAGUUGUAAGUUCAAUCCCUGGCACGAUAUAGUGGGUUAAGGAUCCCACUGUUGCUGCAACUGUAGCAUAGGUGGCAGCAGUGGCUUGGUUUCUUCCCCUGGCCUGGGAACUUCUAUAUGCUGUGGGUGUGGCCAUUAAAAAAAUAAAAAGAAUAGAAGAAUUAAAAUGCAUAGGUGGAAAUUAAAUUGUGGUCUUAGAGCUACCAGUUAUUACCAGUGUGAGGGUAGAUUUUUCUCAUAUUAUCUUGGAGUCUAAUUUUUUAAAGCUCCAAAAAAUUUAGAUUUUUAAAUUGAUUUUCAUCUUAGGUCCUAUUCUUCUUUGACUCUAGGGAAGUCUAGUGUAUUUCAGUCCAUCUACCACCUAAAGCCAGAUUUUGCUGUCCUUUCUAGUUAGUGAGCUCUUUUGAAAUCUUAUUCAACUCUCUGUUUUCAGGUGUAUGUAUAGUCUUGACUCUGCUUAGUUCAGAAACGUGUUUGUAAAACCCCUCUCCACCAUGAAUGCUGAAACAUAGAUUAACAUAUAUAAAUCCUAGGAAGAAUAAUAGAAUUUUAGGAUUUGAAGCUAGAACAGAGAUCUUGCCAGUGGCUCCUGUGAUACACAGCUCCUCUGAUCAUUUUGUAAUGCACCCUGGAACUUUCCCCUAUUAUGGAGCCAUGUCUGUUCUCCACAGAAUCACGAAGCAAAUACACUCCCUGAUUUACAAGAAAGGCCAUCAAAUGUUUGGAAACAUUGAUUUAUUUUUCUUGGAUUGUUGGGUAUCUAUAGUUUCUUUUCUUCUGGUGAAUUUUCUCUAGUUCAUUCAAGUAUUCCACUAUUUCUUAUAAUCCUAUUGGUCUUUCUAGUCAACUCUUAAACUUUAUAAUCACUUUCAGCAUCACUGAUUUUUUAUCUUUCAUCAGUUUACUUGUUUCAAGAUGGCUAAGCAAAUAUUAACCUAUCCCAAGGUAGAACUUAAUUCGUUCCAUGUAUUCAUUCAACAAGUAUUUGUCAAUAGCUGUUAUUUACUAUGUCCUGCUUCUCUUCCAUACACUUUGAGGCAGUCACGUACAGAGAUACAUUUACCUUUUAAUGAAUCUCUGCACGUUACAGAAACGUGGGGUAAUGUACAUAGUCAUUUAUUUUCCUUUCCUCUUUGAACACCUCCCCCAGUCUCAGUUAUCCUGAAAGCAGCUAACGGUUCUCCAGCUAUUAUUGUGCACCUGAACCAUAACACGUGGUCUUUGGGAGAGGGCACUGCUUGUGACAGUGAACCUUGGAGCCAGGCACGUGGUUAGAAUUCCAGCUUCAUGAUGAUCAGUUAGGGUCCUUUGGAAGAUCAUUCAACCUGUUUGGUCUUGAGUUUUCUUCUCUCUGAAAUGGGAAUGAUACUAAUCUUAUCUACUUUAUGGAUUAAGAUAAUUUUAGGGCUCAGACACCAAGCAAGCCCUAUGAGAGUCCUUGUGGUUGUUAUUUUUAUUUCUCCGUAAUAGUGGAGGAAUGACACCGAGGAGCUUUGGCCGUCCAGAGCAGGAAGUAAGGCUGUUUUACCUGUUUAUGUGGUCUCUCUUUGUUGGAGGAGUUAAUGACUCCCAAGUAUUUUGAGAAAAGGAGAGCUGGUGUUUGAGUUUUCUUUUUUCUAUUGGUGCAGAAGAAUACAUUUUAAGAUAGACUUUAUCCCUGAGACCUCACUGUAACUUACCUGUAAUAAAAACCUUUCAUUUGGCCCAGUUCAGUUUAUCUCAUAUUGAAAUACCUCCCAUAGCCUUCUUCUUUUGAAAAGGCUUUUGUAGGAGAAUAGGGAGGACAGAAGUCAUGGUCAUGGGUGGAUACCCCCUGGAAUUCACCAGCAUAUGGCAAUACCUUUUUUUUUUUUUUUUUUUUUUUCCUGAGGCGAAUCUUCUCCCACUUGAGUAUCCAGAGGUUCAGGGUUUAGUUUUGAAGAGAAGGAAUGACUUUGUCCUCUUCUCUGCCUUCCCAGCCUCGGUGCCUGUGCUUUUUCACAUGUCCUGUGUUAACACCGUUGGCGACAUUUCCCCAGUCAAGUGACAGUGUUGUAAAACUUCACAUCUGCCCGCUGGAGGGCCUGUCACCAACUCCGUAUACUUUUAGAACCUCAAGUAAACCAUGCCUAUUUAAAGCCUAUGUUUUUGGUCUCUCCCUAUAAAGUGUUUUCCGCACCCAAGACCAUGGAAGUGCACUGGUUCCAUGAGUACACUGGUCACUCAUUUUCAACCCUCAUAUCUUUAAUUUCUGCUCAGAGUACCUUUAGACGCUUUCACAGAUCGUUGCCAGCGGAUGCAGAUGGAUCGAGGGCUUGUGAGACGUCAUGCUCGUCUUAGAAAAACCACACUUCCUGUGAAAGCUUGGUAACUAAAGAAGCUUUAAGGAGUCUAAAGCGAAAACUCACAAAAAACAUUAGUGAUGAUAGAAAAAGAGAUGUUAAUACAACUGGAAAAAGAAAGCACAGUAAAAGUGCUUGAAAACCCAGUGGUAUGCCGUGUGGAGGGUGUCGUGGUUAGUAGGUUAAACACUUCCAUGCACCACUGCCAUGUGCUAAUAACUUCCAAGAACAGAAAAUGAAAGAAAGUCAGGUAUUAUAGCUGGAUGAAUUGAUGGAGAUAGGGCACAGAUUUUAUGUUCUCUAAUCCUAAUUGUAGAUGGGUGUUUAAAUCCUUUUAGAAAGUACUGGCUCUGGGUAAAGGGACAGAAUCACUUUAUGAAAUAGUUAACAGUGACCUAGAACAAGUUCCAUUGCAUCAAACCAGAUGCUCCCCC
rnacentral:lncRNA from 1 species